rnacentral:rRNA from 1 species
UACGUAGGGUGCAAGCGUUAAUCGGAAUUACUGGGCGUAAAGAGCGCGCAGGCGGUCGUUCAAGUCGAGUGUGAAAGCCCCCGGCUCAACUGGGGAGGGUCACUCGAUACUGAUCGACUCGAAGGCAGGAGAGGGAAGCGGAAUUCCCGGUGUAGUGGUGAAAUGCGUAGAUAUCGGGAGGAACACCAGUGGCGAAGGCGGCUUUCUGGCCUGUUCUUGACGCUGAGGCGCGAAAGCUAGGGUAGCAAACGGG